GACGAACGCUGGCGGCGUGCUUAACACAUGCAAGUCGAACGGAAAGGCCCUGCUUUUGUGGGGUGCUCGAGAGGCGAACGGGUGAGUAACACGUGAGUAAACUGCACUUGACUGUGGGAUAACAUCAGGAAACAGGGGAUAAUAUCGGAUAGGAGAUCUUGCAGCACGGGGGGGGUUGGAAAGAUACGGCGGUGGGGGAUGGAUUCGCGGCUUAUGAGCUUGUUGGUGGGGUAGUGGCUGACCACGGCUUCGAAGGGUAGCCGGCCUGGGAGGGUGGCCGGCCACAUUGCUCCUACGAUACGGCCCAGUCUCCUACGUUCGGCAGCAGUGGGGAAUCUUGCACAAUGGCCGGACGCCUGUUGCAGCAACGCCGCGUUCGUGAUGCCGUCCUUCGGGUUGUAAACCGCUUUCGCCUUUGCCGAAGCGUGAGUGACGGUACUGGGUCAAGAAGCCCCGGCUAACUACGUG
rnacentral:rRNA from 1 species